AUUCCAGCUCCAAUAGCAUAUAUUAAAGUUGUUGCAGUUAAAAAGCUCGUAGUUGAACUUCUUGGCAUCCUUUAAGCUGGCUUCGGUCGUUUCAAGGGUGUCAAUCCGCUAGGGAACUACAUUCGCACUUCACUGUGCGGUGUAAGGAACUGGCAUUUUACUUAGAAAAAAUUAGAGUGUUCAAGGCAGGCUAUCGCCCUGAAUACACAAGCUUGGAAUAAUGAAAUAGGACUAUUUCCAUUUUAUUGGUUAUUGGAUUUAGUAAUGAUUAAUAGGGACAGUUGGGGGCAUUUGUAUUUAAUAGUCAGAGGUGAAAUUCUUGGAUUUAUUAAAGACAAACUUAUGCGAAAGCAUUUGCCAAGGAUGUUUUCAUCA
rnacentral:rRNA from 1 species